AGGCUCUUCUGUGUCCAGCGGAGGAGCAACUCUGUGUCCAGCUUAGAGAACUGGAAGAAGCCGCAACCUUCCACCUGCUGGAGGGUGGAGGAUGGAUGGAGCCUGGAGCCUGGGUCACUACCUCGCUGCGGUUGGUAGUGGCGAUAGAGCAGUAGGAGAGCGGUCAGCAGCAGGAGCUUCUCCUGCCAGGCUGGAGGACUAGAAGGAAGAGGCACUGCCACAUGCUGGAGGCUGGAACCUGUGCCACCAUGGCUUGCCUCGCUGUGGUUGGUGGUGACGUCGGAGACUGCAGCUUAGCCACAGUGGUAGAAACGUGAUGGGCUUCCAAGUAAGGGAUGGUUUUCCUCUUCUCGGACUCCAGACUCUAGAAGGCGAUUUUCUCCACUCGAGCUGGAUUGCAUGCUGCUCCAAGCCAGGCUGAAGGAGGAGAAGGAGGAGUCGCC
rnacentral:lncRNA from 10 species